rfam:Biomphalaria glabrata isolate BB02 unplaced genomic scaffold LGTN_random_Scaffold191, whole genome shotgun sequence.
GGAACAGUACUCAAGUGGUUAAGAGGUUUUCCUGCUAAGAAAAUAGGUCGGUUAAACGGCGCGUGAGUUCGAAUCUCACCUGUUCCG